GUAUGAAGAUACGUUCGAAGAAGACGACGUUAGCAAGGUUACCCUUCCGGCUUGGCCUGGGCAGGGUUAUGGACGCCGCUGGUUAUCUUCAGGACUCUUAGUCCAAUUUGUAUCUUGUCCUUACUCGGACGUAUUCGAUCUUCUGUAUGAUUUGGAUCUUUGUAUUGUAUAUUUGUAUCUUGACUCAUUAGAGUCGUUGUUGUAAUAUAUGUUUCUUGUGGGCUCUAUUGUAAUCCUGUUGUAAUGUUACCGCUCGUGUUAAUUCCUCUGGCAUCACGUGUGUGAUUCGUCGCGCACGUCGUGUCGGAGGGCGUCUCAGAAUCGAUAUCGUGCGGAUUUCGGCAGGAUCGCUGGAAUCCUCAUGGUACCGGUUCCGGGGCGUCACAAGUUGGUAUCAGAGCUCAGGUUGACGAUACCCCACUAGUCCAGCCUGUAGGAUAACCUUGCCAAUGGACGUUGUGUCUAGUGUCAAGCUAUUUUCUAAAACUCGUUGGAUAGAUCUGAUUAGCUCUAUUUUUCUUCUUAUCUUUAUUCUUUCUCCUCUUACCUAUGCGAGUUUUGAGUCUUCUCUCUUAUCUGAGUCUCUGAGUCUUAGGUUCCGACGUGGGUUGGACGAUCUUUGCCUCUCACCUAUUAGGUCCGAUCUUCGGAGGAUACCGACGGAAGCGCAUCAUCAACAUCGGAACAACGACUUCUUGUUAGUGGUGUCGAGGAGAUCGACACGUCGCCUGAAGAUCCGAUAGUUCACCUCUCUCCCCCGUACCUUGAGGUGGGAUCUCGGGGCGCGAUCCCUUGUUAGUGGUAUCGAUUGUAACGGCCCCGGGUAGCACCCCUAUUAGAUUUGUUUGUUGUUUUUUCUUUUGUGCAUCAUCAUGCAUCCUGCAUCAUCACAUCCAUGUUUUUAACAAAUAAAAAUUAUUUUAUAAAUCCUAAACUAUUUUCUUUUUUAUCUCAUAUGGUUUUAAUAAAACCCUUCUCCCUUCUUUCAUUUAAACAAAACCUCUAACCCCUUGGGUUGUGGCCUCUCUCUCUCUCUGGCCUCUCUCCUUGUGGCCCAUCUCUACCUCUGCUCUCAGCAGCCCACCUCUCCAGCUCCUUAGCCCACCUCGUUAUUUUUUCCCUCUGGCCCGUACCCCUUGGCUCUUCUUUUUCCUGUUGUCGUCUUCUCCCCAGGGAACGAGCACGCAAGGCGCGUGAUGUACUGGACCUCCACCACCGACGCCCCACCUCACCUGCUCCUCCCCUUUAUCCCUCUCCUAGAAACCCUAGCCGCUCCUCCCUUCUCCCUCCCUCUGGCCGCCGCCACCCUCUUCUCCCUCUUCUUUAUCCUCUCUUUUCUCUCUUCUCUGUAAGCAACGAAGGGAGGAAAACCACGUCGUACCACCGCAGAAACCUCCACCUCGCUGCCGUUCCAGGCCGCCCCUCGCUGUGCUGAUGCCACUGGCGGAUGCGCCUCGUCGUCCUCUUCAUCUACGUUCAAGGAAUCGUCCCAAGAUGUUCGGUAUCGAGCACAAGGCCGCCGUUUCUCCGCCACGGUUGUCAUGCUCCGGCGAGAAAUCUGUCGUCGUGCAUCCUCCCCCGCCCUCUCCGACCUCUCUACCACGUUCCUGAUAUGGUCUCCGGCGGCUCUCCGGUGGUUCCCCGGCGCCAAGACUACCACCAGCAGGUUCCCCAUGUUCUUCUGCGUCGAAUGCGCCCUCUCCCGCUUCCCGGGUCGUCCGCCAUCGCCAGAUCCAUCUUCGAACGGAUCUCCUUCCGCCAUGGAUGAUGGAUGCUCCAGCUCCGCCUCUUCUGGCUCUAGUUGCCACGAGCCUUUGUUUUAACAUGAUCUGAAUCAUUAGCGUGGUGAUCCGGCCCCGUUGAUGGUCUUCGACCCAGAUCCAUCCAGCGUGCCAGGCUGCAUCUCAUCACCGGUUCGGCCCACCAGCACCACCUCG